rnacentral:rRNA from 1 species
UGGGGAAUAUUGCACAAUGGGCGCAAGCCUGAUGCAGCCAUGCCGCGUGUAUGAAGAAGGCCUUCGGGUUGUAAAGUACUUUCAGCGGGGAGGAAGGUGUUGAGGCUAAUAACCUCAGCAAUUGACGUUACCCGCAGAAGAAGCACCGGCUAACUCCGUGCCAGCAGCCGCGGUAAUACGGAGGGUGCAAGCGUUAAUCGGAAUUACUGGGCGUAAAGCGCACGCAGGCGGUCUGUCAAGUCGGAUGUGAAAUCCCCGGGCUCAACCUGGGAACUGCAUUCGAAACUGGCAGGCUAGAGUCUUGUAGAGGGGGGUAGAAUUCCAGGUGUAGCGGUGAAAUGCGUAGAGAUCUGGAGGAAUACCGGUGGCGAAGGCGGCCCCCUGGACAAGGACUGACGCUCAGGUGCGAAAGCGUGGGGAGCAAACA